AGUGAACGCUGGCGGUAGGCCUAACACAUGCAAGUCGAACGGCAGCACAGUGAGAGCUUGCUCUUACGGGUGGCGAGUGGCGGACGGGUGAGGAAUACAUCGGAAUCUACUUUUUCGUGGGGGAUAACGUAGGGAAACUUACGCUAAUACCGCAUACGACCUACGGGUGAAAGCAGGGGAUCUUCGGACCUUGCGCGAUUGAAUGAGCCGAUGUCGGAUUAGCUAGUUGGCGGGGUAAAGGCCCACCAAGGCGACGAUCCGUAGCUGGUCUGAGAGGAUGAUCAGCCACACUGGAACUGAGACACGGUCCAGACUCCUACGGGAGGCAGCAGUGGGGAAUAUUGGACAAUGGGCGCAAGCCUGAUCCAGCCAUACCGCGUGGGUGAAGAAGGCCUUCGGGUUGUAAAGCCCUUUUGCUGGGAAAGAAAAGCAGCAGGUUAAUACCCCGCUGUUCUGACGGUACCCAAAGAAUAAGCACCGGCUAACUUCGUG
rnacentral:rRNA from 1 species